UCCCUGGUGGCUCAGACGGUAAAGUGUGUGCCUGCAAGGCAGGAGACCCAGGUUCAAUCCCUGGGUUGGGAA
rnacentral:tRNA from 1 species